CCCCUAGACGUUCUGGGCCGCACGCGCGCUACACUGAAGGAAUCAGCGUGGCUUUCUCCCUGACCCGAAAGGGUUGGGAAACCCGUUGAAUCUCCUUCGUGAUAGGGAUUGGGGCUUGAAAUUGUUCCCCAUGAACGAGGAAUUCCCAGUAAGCGCGAGUCAUAAGCUCGCGUUGAUUACGUCCCUGCCCUUUGUACACACCGCCCGUCGCUACUACCGAUUGAACGGUUUAGUGAGGGCCUCGGAUUGGUCUCGGCCCGCUCUUUACCGGGCGGCGCCGUUGGUCGAGAAGACGCUCGAACUUGAUCGUUUAGAGGAAGUAAAAGUCGUAACA
rnacentral:rRNA from 1 species